GAUGAACGCUGGCGGCGUGCCUAAUACAUGCAAGUCGAGCGAACAGACGAGGAGCUUGCUCCUCUGACGUUAGCGGCGGACGGGUGAGUAACACGUGGAUAACCUACCUAUAAGACUGGGAUAACUUCGGGAAACCGGAGCUAAUACCGGAUAAUAUAUUGAACCGCAUGGUUCAAUAGUGAAAGACGGUUUUGCUGUCACUUAUAGAUGGAUCCGCGCCGCAUUAGCUAGUUGGUAAGGUAACGGCUUACCAAGGCAACGAUGAGUAGCCGACCUGAGAGGGUGAUCGGCCACACUGGAGCUGAGACACGGUCCAGACUCCUACGGGAGGCAGCAGUAGGGAAUCUUCCGCAAUGGGCGAAAGCCUGACGGAGCAACGCCGCGUGAGUGAUGAAGGUCUUCGGAUCGUAAAACUCUGUUAUUAGGGAAGAACAAAUGUGUAAGUAACUAUGCACGUCUUGACGGUACCUAAUCAGAAAGCCACGGCUAACUACGUG
rnacentral:rRNA from 1 species